CUUCCCAGAAGAGUGGAGGCUGUUAUAGCAGCAAAGGGGGUCCAACUCCAUAUUAAUGCCUUCCCAGAAGAGUGGAGGCUGUUAUAGCAGCAAAGGGGGGGUCCAACUCCAUAUUAAUGACUUCCCAGAAGAGUGGAGGCUGUUAUAGCAGCAGCAGGGGGGUCCAACUCCAUAUUAAUGACUUCCCAGAAGAGUGGAGGCUGUUAUAGCAGCAGAAGAGGGGGUCCAACUCCAUAUUAAUGCCUUCCCAGAAGAGUGGAGGCUGUUAUAGCAGCAAAGGGGGUCCAACUCCAUAUUAAUGCCUUCCCAGAAGAGUGGAGGCUGUUAUAGCAGCAAAGGGGGGACCAACUCCAUAUUAAUGCCUUCCCAGAAGAGUGGAGGUUGUUAUAGCAGCAAAGGGGGGUCCAACUCCAUAUUAAUGACUUCCCUGAAGAGUGGAGGCUGUUAUAGCAGCAAAGGGGGGUCCAACUCCAUAUUAAAGCCCAUGAUCUUGGAAUGAGAUGUUGGACGUGCAGGUGUCCACAUAUUUUUGGUCAUGUAAUGUAUCAUCAAGAAGCUUCCUAAGAAGGUAAAACACUUCUCCGGGCAGGCUGAUUAUCAGGACAGGAGACUGCAAUACACACACCUGAGGAGGAACGCACCCAAAGGGCUGGCAGGCUCUGUCCAGCCCUUAGGGGGCGUUCCAGGUGGUCUGUACUGCAAUCACACUGCCCAGUUUUAGGUGGCGAUGGAGACCUCUUGACGGGUACCCACCUGGAAGCU
ensembl:lncRNA